AUCGAACGCUGGCGGCAGGCCUAACACAUGCAAGUCGAACGAGUGGCGGACGGGUGCGUAAUGUCUGGGAAACUGCCUGAUGGAGGGGGAUCACUACUGGAAACGGUAGAUAAUACCGCAUACCAUCCGAUGGGCCCAGACGGGAUUAGCUAGUGGGUGGGGUAAAGGCUCACCAGGGCGACGAUCCCUAGCUGGGCUGAGAGGAUGACCGGCCACACUGGAACUGAGACACGGUCCAGAGUCCAACGGGAGGCAGCAGUGGGGAAUAUUGCACAAUGGGCGCAAGCCGGAUGCAGCCAUGCCGCGUGUAUGAAGAAGGCCUUCGGGUUGUAAAGUACUUUCAGCGGGGAGGCGUUACCCGCAGAGAAAGCACCGGCUAACUCCGUGCCAGCAGCCGCGGUAAUAC
rnacentral:rRNA from 1 species